GAAUUUAAUAUAAUUUUAUUAGAUGAGAAUUUAUUAGAAAAAAUAAUAAAUAUAUAUUUAAUUGGGAGGAUUGUUAAAUUUAAGUAACUUUAAUUAAAUUAAAAUAUAAAUUAAUAAAAUAAAAGAAUGGUUAAUAAAUUAAAAAAGAAUUAAUUACCUUAGGGAUAACAGCGUAAUACUUUUGGAGAGUUCAUAUUAAUAUAAGUGAUUGC
rnacentral:rRNA from 1 species